rnacentral:rRNA from 1 species
UAAGCGGAGGAAAAGAAACUAACAAGGAUUCCCCUAGUAACGGCGAGUGAACAGGGAAGAGCUCAAAUUUGUAAUCUGGCGUCCUUUGGGCGUCCGAGUUGUAAUCUAUAGAAGCGUUUUCCGUGCUGGACCAUGUCCAAGUCCCUUGGAACAGGGUAUCAAAGAGGGUGACAAUCCCGUACUUGACAUGACGACCAGUGCUCUGUGAUACGCUCUCUACGAGUCGAGUUGUUUGGGAAUGCAGCUCAAAACGGGUGGUGAGUUCCAUCUAAAGCUAAAUAUUGGCGAGAGACCGAUAGCGAACAAGUACCGUGAGGGAAAGAUGAAAAGCACUUUGGAAAGAGAGUUAAACAGUACGUGAAAUUGUUGAAAGGGAAACGAUUGAAGUCAGUCGUGUCCGAGGGGUUCAGCCGGUUCUGCCGGUGUAUUCCCCUCGGACGGGUCAACAUCAGUUUGGAUCGGCGGAAAAGGGCAGUUGGAAGGUAGCAGCUCCGGUUGUGUUAUAGCCUUCUGUCGCAUACGCUGGUCUGGACUGAGGAAUGCAGCUCGCCUUCAUGGCUGGGGUUCUCCCACAUACGAGCUUAGGAUGUUGACAUAAUGGCUUUAAACGACCCGUCUUGAAACAC